UUGUUUAUUAAGUCACAAAUUUGGCUUGUUAAGAAUUUACAUUAAAAACAUUUUCUUGCAAAUAUUGAUCUAACCUCACACAUUUUGAUAUUCAAUAAAAAGAAUAUGUGACAUUGAUGAAAUUUUCUUCAAUGAAAGAUAAUUUAAAUAAAAUAAAUUUAAAUAUUCUUUUCUUCGCCUUUCAUUACAAAAAAGAAAACUAAAAACUUUAAUUACCUAAUAUUUCCACAAAUUAUUCCGAGAUUCCAUUAAACUCGAAUCAAGAACGAAGCGAAAUUACACGCAUUAUCAUACUAUUUAUUCGAAAGGAAGAAAGAGAAAAAAGUUUUUUAUCACGUUAACAAUAUAGCGGUUUCUUGCAACGAAAAUGUGCAACGUACCGCGUAUAAUCAGAAAAACACGAAUGGCAAGUACCCCUGAUUGAAAUUGAUUUACGAGCGUGUGUUUAAAUUCUUAACCCUUCCAGACAAAGAGGAUAAAAACCGUGCUGGCAACACCGCUCUCCAUUGACAUGCUGGCACGAUUUACGAAAUUGCCCCGAUCCUUCUCGACAUUCAACUUUUUUCUCGCCAUUCAGUAACCAACCACUGUAAUGUAUGCACAUACGUAGAACUGGUAACAAUCUGUGCAACUUUUUCAAAGAAAAAUUGGAAACGAGUCUUUAUCUAUCCAUCUACGGAGGAACGAUUUAGAAAAUAAUAAUGAAAAUGAAUCGGACGAAAUGUAAAUUGUGGGAUAGCAGUCCGAUGAAAAGAAGAGUUCACUUUCGAACUUUUUGUAUGUGUAUAAUAAAUUUCAAAUCAAAAUAAAGCUUAAGCUUAUCAACAGAAUAACAUCACUUUAUAUAUAUCACAAAUAAUUUUUUGUCUCUCAACAGGACUACUAAUUUUCCUUAUUCGUUACAUAUUUAAUAGACACAUAACCUAUACAUAGCCAAAUCUUCAUAUCUAUAAUCACGUACACGAUAAUUCGUACCUUCCAAUCGUGUAAACAGCAUGCAUCUGAAAACAAAAAAAAAAAAGAAAAAAGAAAA